rnacentral:rRNA from 1 species
GACGAACGCUGGCGGCGUGCUUAACACAUGCAAGUCGAACGGAAAGGCCCUGCUUUUGUGGGGUGCUCGAGUGGCGAACGGGUGAGUAACACGUGAGUAACCUGCCCUUGACUUUGGGAUAACUUCAGGAAACUGGGGCUAAUACCGGAUAGGAGCUCCUGCUGCAUGGUGGGGGUUGGAAAGUUUCGGCGGCUGGGGAUGGACUCGCGGCUUAUCAGCUUGUUGGUGGGGUAGUGGCUUACAAGGCUUUGACGGGUAGCCGGCCUGAGAGGGUGACCGGCCACAUUGGGACUGAGAUACGGCCCAGACUCCUACGGGAGGCAGCAGUGGGGAAUAUUGCACAAUGGGCGGAAGCCUGAUGCAGCAACGCCGCGUGCGGGAUGACGGCCUUCGGGUUGUAAACCGCUUUCGCCUGUGACGAAGCGUGAGUGACGGUAAUGGGUAAAGAAGCACCGGCUAACUACGUG